GAAAGAAACAGGCACAUCUGGAGUGUCUGCUCCAAGAGAGGAGGAACUGCACCAACAGGUGGUCAGAUACUUGUGGUCAGAUACUUGCAAUGGAAGUGAACUCAGAUGAGAUGUACUUCAACAGAAAGUAUAUACAGUACUGGAUCUCAGGAGCAUGUAUAAAGGUAAGGAUCAUAGCUCAUGGUGGAAGGGACUUCAAGAAGUCGUCCAGUUCAAUCUCUUGUUUAAAUCAGGAUGCUGACGCUGACAUUAAAUACAAUGCCUUAUCCAGAUUACUUAGUAGGUUACUUCAGGAAUAGUCCCACAGAAAAAAAAAAAAAAAAACAACCAACCAAACAAAAAAACACCAAAAAGUUUGUGAUGAUUUGGAAGUCAGUCAAGAUAAAAAGCUCCUGGAUGGUGGCUCUGAGAUUCUACUUUUUAGGGAACUGCAGUCCCACUCUAAAUUAUAGAAACCACUCAGGCACGGAGAGAUUCAUAUCAGGACCCAUGACCAGUGCACACCAUGAGUCUGUCAACCACAUGAUGCACCUACAAAACACCUGA
rnacentral:lncRNA from 1 species